rnacentral:rRNA from 1 species
AGUGAACGCUGGCGGUAGGCCUAACACAUGCAAGUCGAACGGCAGCACAGUAAGAGCCUGCUCUUACGGGUGGCGAGUGGCGGAUGGGUGAGGAAUACAUCGGAAUCUACUUUUUCGUGGGGGAUAACGUAGGGAAACUUACGCUAAUACCGCAUACGACCUACGGGUGAAAGCUGGGGAUCUUCGGACCUUGCGCGAUUGAAUGAGCCGAUGUCGGAUUAGCUAGUUGGCGGGGUAAAGGCCCACCAAGGCGACGAUCCGUAGCUGGUCUGAGAGGAUGAUCAGCCACACUGGAACUGAGACACGGUCCAGACUCCUACGGGAGGCAGCAGUGGGGAAUAUUGGACAAUGGGCGCAAGCCUGAUCCAGCCAUACCGCGUGGGUGAAGAAGGCCUUCGGGUUGUAAAGCCCUUUUGUUGGGAAAGAAAAGCAGCAGGUUAAUACCCCGCUGUUCUGACGGUACCCAAAGAAUAAGCACCGGCUAACUUCGUG